rnacentral:rRNA from 1 species
UCUGGUUGAUCCUGCCUGAACUGAUGUGUUCAUUUCAAAGAUUAAGCCAUGCAUGUAUAAGUAUAAUCUGCCAGUCAGAGAAACUGCGUACGGCUCAUUACACCAGCCUUAAUUUACUUGACCUUGACACCCUACUUGGAUAACUGUGGUAAUUCUAGAGCUAAUACAUGCACCAAAGCUCCAAUCUCCCCAGAGCGGAGCGCAUUUGUUCGCCACAAAACCAAGCGCCUCAGGGCGUUCAGUGUUGACUCAGAACAACUAAGCUGAUCGCACGGUCUUGCACCGGCGACGUGUCUUUCAAGUGUCUGCCUUAUCAACUUUCGAUGGUAGUGUAUCUGACUACCAUGGUGAUGACGGGUAACGGAGGAUAAGGGUUCGACUCCGGAGAAGGGGCCUGAGAAAUGGCCACUACGUCUAAGGAUGGCAGCAGGCGCGCAAAUUACCCACUCUCGACGCGAGGAGGUAGUGACGAGAAAUAACGAGACCGUUCUCAUCUGAGGCCGGUCAUCGGAAUGGGUACAAUUUAAACCCUUUAACGAGUAUCUAUGAGAGGGCAAGUCUGGUGCCAGCAGCCGCGGUAAUUCCAGCUCUCAAAAUGCAUAGAAUUAUUGCUGCGGUUAAAAAGCUCGUAGUUGGAUCUGUGCUGAGCGACCGGUCUGCCCACUGGGCACGCACUGGCUCGCCCGGCUUUCCCUGCCGGUCUCUCUCUGACGUUGGUUUUAACCGGCUGGCGUCAGUGGGCUGGCGAGUUUACUUUGAACAAAUCAGAGUGCUUCAAACAGGCGUCUCGCCUGAAUGUUCGUGCAUGGAAUAAUAGAAGAGGAUCACGGUCCGAUUUUAUUGGUUUUGCUGACCGAGAUAAUGGUUAACAGAGACAAACGGGGCCAUUCGUAUUGCUACGUGAGAGGUGAAAUUCUUGGACCGUAGCAAGACGGACUACAGCGAAAGCAUUUGGCAAGAAUGUCUUCAUUAAUCAAGAACGAAAGUCAGAGGUUCGAAGGCGAUCAGAUACCGCCCUAGUUCUGACCGUAAACGAUGCCAACUAGCGAUCCGCCGGCGGAUUCAUUCGCCCUGGUGGGGAGCUUCCCGGAAACGAAAGUCUUCCGGUUCCGGGGGAAGUAUGGUUGCAAAGCUGAAACUUAAAGGAAUUGACGGAAGGGCACCACCAGGAGUGGAGCCUGCGGCUUAAUUUGACUCAACACGGGGAAACUCACCCGGCCCGGACACCGUAAGGAUUGACAGAUUGAUAGCUUUUUCAUGAUUCGGUGGAUGGUGGUGCAUGGCCGUUCUUAGUUCGUGGAGCGAUUUGUCUGGUUUAUUCCGAUAACGAGCGAGACUCUGGCCUACUAAAUAGUUGGCACAUUGCCACUGUGUGCACAACUUCUUAGAGGGAUUUUCGGUNAAAAGCUUGGAUUAAGCUGCCCCCUGGGUACCUAUGAUCGUUGAGCCUUGGCGGAUACCAGGUGAAUGAGACGAUUGACACAAGGUGAAGCUGAAGUUCGUCUUGGUCCAUCCUAGUGUAACGUGCCUAACCAGCACAAAGGCAAGUGAUGCCUAUUGGGUGGAUAGUAUCCAGGGAAGUAUGUUGUCCCCGUCCGACCCGGUCCACCAUAGCCGGGGAUAGCGGGUGGUUAGGCCUGACGCGGCCCACCAUCUAAGAUAAAGCGUCGCGAACCCACAACAACGAAACAUUGGAGUCGGAGUCAGCCCGGGCGGUACCGUUGGUGAACGAAGUGUAAGUGAACCUGGGGUCCCGGUCGGUAGUGUUUCCCCUCAGUCAGGGCAG